rnacentral:rRNA from 1 species
AACGAACGCUGGCGGCAUGCCUAACACAUGCAAGUCGAACGAGACCUUCGGGUCUAGUGGCGCACGGGUGCGUAACGCGUGGGAACCUGCCUUUAGGUUCGGAAUAACUCAGAGAAAUUUGAGCUAAUACCGGAUGAUGUCUUCGGACCAAAGAUUUAUCGCCUUUAGAUGGGCCCGCGUUGGAUUAGCUAGUUGGUGGGGUAAAGGCCUACCAAGGCGACGAUCCAUAGCUGGUCUGAGAGGAUGAUCAGCCACACUGGGACUGAGACACGGCCCAGACUCCUACGGGAGGCAGCAGUGGGGAAUAUUGGACAAUGGGCGAAAGCCUGAUCCAGCAAUGCCGCGCGAGUGAUGAAGGCCUUAGGGUUGUAAAGCUCUUUUACCCGAGAUGAUAAUGACAGUAUCGGGAGAAUAAGCGCCGGCUAACUCCGUG